rnacentral:rRNA from 1 species
CUACGGGUUGCAGCAGUAAGGAAUAUUGCGCAAUGGAGGCAACUCUGACGCAGCCAUGCCGCGUGCAGGAAGAAGGCCUUAUGGGUCGUAAACUGCUUUUAUUUAGGAAUAAACCCCCGAACGUGUUCGGGGCUGAAGGUACUAAACGAAUAAGCACCGGCUAACUCCGUGCCAGCAGCCGCGGUAAUACGGAGGGUGCAAGCGUUAUCUGGAUUUAUUGGGUUUAAAGGGUGCGCAGGCGGGCUAUUAAGUCAGUGGUGAAAUCCCGGGGCUCAACUCCGGAACUGCCAUUGAUACUGAUAGUCUUGAGUUUGGUUGAAGUGGGCGGAAUGUAGCAUGUAGCGGUGAUAUGCAUAGAUAUGCUACAGAACACCAAUCGCGAAGGCAGCUCACUAAGCCAAAACUGACGCUCAUGCACGAAAGCGUGGGGAUCAAACAGGAUUAGAUACCCGUGUAGUC